CCAUAUUUUGCAGUUUCUGUUCACAAAUCUUGGAUAUAUAUCGCAACCAUUUGCCUUGGUCAUCAUGACUAACGUUUCCAGUGUUGAAUCCAUCUUUCAGCAUUCAACCAUCACUGCACGAUAUCCCUCAUAUUCGACUUAUGGUUACCAUAUCUACAUUAGAAAACCAUUCUUCUCCACCAUUUGCCUCAAUAAUUGGCCUCCUCCGCGAGUAUUUCCUACAAUCCCCACCUCAAACUGGUGCCCCCUUCUUCUCUCAACCCCACCACCAGUGAACCAUCGCCUAUCUGAAAACCCUAGAGACAUCCGUCUCUAACACCACUCAACCCUCUCUUAAAACCCUAGACACAACAUUUAUUGUUGUCUCUUCUAACCAACUCCCCUCUUCUUCUCUCUAAACACUCUAACCCUAAUCUUAGCCACCAACAAUAAACACUGUUGAUAUUCUUCUUUGCCACCACAUAUGUUGUUGUUCUUUUACUCACACACAUGUCACAUUGAGCUGUCAUUGAUUUGGAUUCGGAACUCUACCCCAGGAAACGCCCUCAAGGUAAGCUUUUACAUAAGGUUUCUAUCACAUACAUUCUUCUGCACCUUAUUUGACAUUCACUUUGUCUGGAUACUUUAAACAAUUAUAUGUUUUCUUAUUGAAAUCUUAAAUCAAUCAUAUUUCUUAAUUGAUAUUCACUUUUUCUAAGAUCUUUGAGACCAAAAGCGACACAGAUUUCACUAAUCUAGAAACUCAAGCACAAAGAAGGGCCUUUUCUGUUUGGAAUCUGUCAUGUAAGGUUUAUAACCUCAGUAAAAACUCUAAUUGAGUUCAUCUUUUACUGAUUUGACUUUUUUGUUUCUUUUGGUUGUUGAAUUGUUAAUCACUUUGCUAUUUUUUCUAACUGUUGUUACGUGUUCUAAUUUAAUAUAUUUCAAUGUGUUUAUUGUGGUUGCUAAAGGUUUCAUUAUGAUUUUUCUGAUUUUUGUUGUAUUAUUUGAUUUAAGUUUUACUAUCUUGAGUUGAUUGGGUUUAUAUAGACAGGGUCAAAUACAUGGAAACAGUAGUGAUUAUAUUGGAAUUUCCAACAUGAUUUUAAGGGAGGUAAUAUUCGGUUAAAUAUUGAUUUUCACUUUAAUUUAAUAAUGUAACACAUUGUUUUAUAUCAGAUGAUUUCAAUUGAUUUCGAUCUAUAGUAAGAGGUUCAAAACAAUGAUAUAUGCUUCAAAAGACCUAUUGUGUGGAAAACUAAAGGUAAAAGAUGUUUUUUUAUUACUUUUGUGGACGGUUGAACAUCUUGCUAUGAAUAAUGACAUUCAUUUAAUCGUUAUCUAUUUUGCAACAAAAUGUUGCAACUUUCUUUCUCGUGUCUACUUUUUUAACUCAUAAUAACAAUGAACUUUUUUUCUUUGACAUGUAAUAUUUAUGAAGAAGUUAUAGAAUCGUGACACUGAUUUCUUUUUACCAAUUGGUUUUAAACUCAUCAUCUACAAACUUAAACUUAUGGGAGUGUAUAUGUGUCCAGUUGUUUGAGUAUAUGUGUGAAUUGCAUUUUUUUUUUGGUUAUUUAUUUUGUCUUGUGGAAAUGGAAGUUUAAAGAAAGUGGAAUGAAUGUAUCUUUGCAACCAAAGAAAGUACCAUGGAGCAUAUGGAAAUUAUUAGUUUUGGGUUAAUGGUUUAUUGAUGAAGAAGAUAUGUCCAACAAAAGUAUGUACAAUGUAAAUAUUAUACUUUUUUUUAAUGUAUUUGUAUAUUAAAAUUAUAAAAACGCGUCAUAAAUAGUUGUACCAUUCCA